GCUGGUUUGCCCGAGAGGUUAAGGGGGUAGACUUAAGAUCUACUGUACAUAAGUACGCAUGGGUUCGAACCCCAUAGCCAGCA
rfam:Corchorus olitorius cultivar O-4 contig17170, whole genome shotgun sequence.